rnacentral:rRNA from 1 species
ACGUAGGGUGCGAGCGUUAAUCGGAAUUACUGGGCGUAAAGCGUGCGCAGGCGGUUUUGUAAGACAGGGGUGAAAUCCCCGGGCUCAACCUGGGAACUGCCAUUGUGACUGCAAGGCUGGAGUGCGGCAGAGGGGGAUGGAAUUCCGCGUGUAGCAGUGAAAUGCGUAGAUAUGCGGAGGAACACCGAUGGCGAAGGCAACCCCCUGGACGAGGACUGACGCUCAUGCGCGAAAGCGUGGGGAGCAAACAG